rnacentral:rRNA from 1 species
AUACAUAGGGGGCAAGCGUUGUCCGGAAUUAUUGGGCGUAAAGCGCGCGCAGGCGGUACAUUAAGUCUUGUGUUUAACUCCAGGGCUCAACCCUGGCACGCAUGGGAAACUGGUGUACUGGAGUGCAGGAGAGGAAAGCGGAAUUCCACGUGUAGCGGUGAAAUGCGUAGAGAUGUGGAGGAACACCAGUGGCGAAGGCGGCUUUCUGGCCUGCAACUGACGCUGAGGCGCGAAAGCGUGGGGAGCAAACAGGAUUAGAUACCCUGGUAGUCCACGCCGUAAACGAUGAGUGCUAGGUGUCGGGGGUUUCGAUACCUUCGGUGCCGAAGUAAACACAAUAAGCACUCCGCCUGGGGAGUACGCUCGCAAGAGUGAA